rnacentral:rRNA from 1 species
CUACGGGUCGCUCCAGUGAGGAAUAUUGCACAAUGGGGGGAACCCUGAUGCAGCAACGCCGCGUGGAGGAUGACGCAUUUCGGUGUGUAAACUCCUUUUAUAUGUCAAGAAAAUGACGGUAGCAUAUGAAUAAGCACCGGCUAACUCCGUGCCAGCAGCCGCGGUAAUACGGAGGGUGCAAGCGUUACUCGGAAUCACUGGGCGUAAAGGACGCGUAGGCGGGUUGGAAAGUCAGGUGUGAAAUCCUACAGCUUAACUGUAGAACUGCACUUGAAACUUCUAAUUUAGAGCAUGGGAGGGGGAGAUGGAAUUAGUGGUGUAGGGGUAAAAUCCGUAGAUAUCACUAGGAAUACCUAAAGCGAAGGCGAUCUCCUGGAACAUUACUGACGCUAAGGCGUGAAAGCGUGGGGAGCAAACAGGAUUAGAUACCCCCGUAGUC